AUGAACGCUGGCGGCGUGCUUAACACAUGCAAGUCGAACGGAAAGGCUCCUGCUUGCAGGGGUACUCGAGUGGCGAACGGGUGAGUAACACGUGGGUGAUCUGCCCUGCACUUCGGGAUAAGCCUGGGAAACUGGGUCUAAUACCGGAUAGGACGAUGGUUUGGAUGCCAUUGUGGAAAGUUUUUUCGGUGUGGGAUGAGCUCGCGGCCUAUCAGCUUGUUGGUGGGGUAAUGGCCUACCAAGGCGUCGACGGGUAGCCGGCCUGAGAGGGUGUACGGCCACAUUGGGACUGAGAUACGGCCCAGACUCCUACGGGAGGCAGCAGUGGGGAAUAUUGCACAAUGGGCGCAAGCCUGAUGCAGCGACGCCGCGUGGGGGAUGACGGCCUUCGGGUGGUAAACUCCUUUCGCUAGGGACGAAGCGCAAGUGACGGUACCUGGAGAAGAAGCACCGGCUAACUACGU
rnacentral:rRNA from 1 species